rnacentral:rRNA from 1 species
CUCGUAGGCGGUCCAUCGCGUCGGGAGUGAAAAGCUGGGGCUUAACCCCAGUCCUGCUUCCGAUACGGGUGGACUAGAGGUAGGUAGGGGAGAACGGAAUUCCUGGUGUAGCGGUGAAAUGCGCAGAUAUCAGGAGGAACACCGGUGGCGAAGGCGGUUCUCUGGGCCUUACCUGACGCUGAGGAGCGAAAGCGUGGGGAGCAAACA